GCAGAUUCUCAGCACAGCUAGAGGCACCGUCCCCAUGAAAGUCUUGCUCUGGGACAUAGGCGUGGACUGGGCCCUUCCUGCCUUGACAAGAGUGGGAGUUCUUUUUUGCUCAACUUAGUCCCUCUUUACUCUCAUCUGCCUCUGCUAAGACCUGGACUUGAAGACUUGACAUUUCCCAGUGACAACUGCCCUAGCCCUGGGAGUCCCUCAGUGGUAACUUCUAUGUGUGACAGAAGUCACACACGCAGAAUGUACACUCGGGUGACCCACGCAGCUAAUUAGCAGUUGGCUGAUAGCUUGAAUCUCUUGACAUUUGUUUGAUUCUUUCCCUUCGAUUUGGUUAGAUGACGACUAGUCGAAGAAGUUCUCUAGGAAGACUCUGGAAGCCCAUAAAGAAGAAGAGGGGCGAGAGCCUCCCAAAGUGGAACUGCAGGCGACAAGAUCAAAGGCGCCUGCCUCUGAUGGAGAGCCCGCUGCAAAAAAGGCCCGGUCCAAUCCUCAGGUGUACAUGGACAUCAAGAUUGGGAACAAGCCAGCCGGCCGCAUCCAGAUGCUCCUGCGUCCAGAUGGCGUCCCCGUGACAGCAGGCCAAGGGCAGCAAGGACGGGAAGCCAAAGGAGAAGGUGAUCAUUUCCGACUGCGGGGAGUACGUGUGAAGAGGUUCUUUCCCUGCGCUGCGCCUGUGGGUGCAGCCCAGGGACACAGCACUUGUUAAGCAGGGGUCCAAGACACUGCCCUUCUCGGCGUCAGCCUGGAGCAGCCCCUCUGCAGACCGUCUGGGCUUCCCCUGGCUCUUUCCCAAGCGCGGCCGCGGGCCCGGAGCCGGCACAGGUGCCACCCUCCCCACCAUGGGUGGCUGGGCAUGGACUUCCUAGGCCUUUGCUGCCAGGGCCUCUCCUGGGCCCACCAGUGUGACUGCUGGGCAUUUCUUCUGAUAAAAUAAAUCCUGGCUCUUAUAUUGCCAUCUGCUAGGAAAGACCAGAGCUCCUCCCCUGCUGCUCGCCCUUCCCAGGCGGUCCCUGGGCACACACCAUGCGGGGCCACUGCCAGGCCACGGAGGUCAGAGCAGGUGCAGAAAUGCCUCUGUCCUCUCGCUCCCGGUACCAGACAUGCGACGUGGGUGAGCCAGACUGUUUCUGCCGUCACACCUGCUGGUCCUGAGUCACCUCACAGCAUCUCUCAUGUGCUGAGGCUGAGAAACCAUCGGUCACCAGAAACCAACUCCAGCAUGACCACCUGCUCCCAGCCAGUAGCUCUGCAUCAAAUCGCGACAUUUAGGGACAUCUGGGCUGGGCUGGGCUGGGCCGGGCCUUGAACACCGGUGAGGUCAGGUUGAGCGGGGAGGGGAGGAGGCUGCUGGCCUGCGGCCCCAGCAUCCCCGGCCAGCUCCUGCGGCCCGGCCUCUGGCAUCCGGAGCCAGCCUGGGGGCUGGGCUUCAGGUGGAGCUUCUCCCCAGCAGAGACCCUCACUUCUUAAACUACAUGUCCCUGUCACGGGUGGUUGGUCAUGGCUGUCAGGACAGGCAGCAGUGAGUCCAGGGGAAUGGCAGCCUUUUGGGGCCGGUGUGACAUUCAGAAGAGAGGAUGUGUGUAAAGUACUCAGCUUGGCCAAGUCUGAAUAUGACAAGCUGGGACAUGGAGCAGGCUGGCCCGAGGCACCAGGAGGGAGGGCUGGUCUCACAACACUGUGAAACAAGGGGAGAGGCAAUAGGGGGACCUUGUCGCUCACUGUGCUUCCCUGGUUGUCUUGGGUCUGUAGGACCAGCAGACUGGCCAGGAGGCUGGUGGGUGGGGGCCGUGGGGUGACAACUGCUCGCCCUGUGCUGUGCAAGGGCUGCCCCAGAAGCCAGCCCUGCGUCCACCCGUGACUUGCACAGGUUGACCUGACUCGGGGCAGGUGCCAGG